rnacentral:lncRNA from 1 species
CGGCUUUAGUAUUUAUGAUGCAGUAAUUAAAGCAAUAAAUGUUUUUGUUUUUUUUUGUAUUAAUAUGCCAACAGAAAUAAAUAUGCUACUAAGUGUAUUAAAGCGAAAUUACUAAUGCAUGCUAAUUUAACUAGAUAACUACCAUUGUGACCAUGUGGCUAGGGUAUGGAAUUUAAAGUCUACCGACAGGACUUAGAUAGCGAAGAGGACUUACUCAGUGGGUUCAUUGUCUGAGGUAUCCUAAGUCAACUCACUGUCUUGUGGUGAUGCGGUACGUGCGUCUUCCUCCCAUCUUGCUUCUGUCUCUUUUGCUUCUUCCUGCUCUAGUUACAACUCUUCAUCUCUGUUCUCCUUUCCCCAGGCUUCUAAUCAGGCUAAGAUCUCCUCUUUCUCUUUCUUGGUGAUUUGGUCCAUCCUUUCAGCUUCUUCGACCCACUCACUCCAUCGGGGUGCUUGCGUGUUCUCUUCUUCCUCCAUGAAGUGGUCUUCAUAUUUCACAAUCUCUCCAGGAAAGUCUUCCCAUCCACUGUGAGGCUAGGUAGCCUGACGGCAGCCUUGGCGUCUUCUCCUGUUGCGUUGCUUCCUGAUCUGCUCAUGGUUAACUAUUGUUCUAAAUUGGCAACGUACCUUUCCAGUGGGUAGGUUGAAGUGGAUAUGCCCUGAUCUGAUGUA